AUAUAAAUAUUGGUAUUAUAACUUCGUUUAAUUAUAAUGUGUAUAUAAUUUAGACUCGUGGCCAAAUGUUUUGGGAAGUCGACUGCCAGGUGAAUUCGGAUGCGUUUUUUAAAAACAACUUCCGAAUGAAGCGCAAUUCUUUUAUUAAAUUGUGCAUUAUGUUGAAAGGUUUGGAGAAGGAAAAUACCAACUAAUGCAAAGCAAUUCCAUUAGAGAAACGCAUUGCUAUUGCUUUAUAUGCUUUUGGCUCUUCUGCAGAAUAUCGAACAAUUGGAAAUAUGUUCGGAAUUGGUAAAAGCACUGUCUGCUCCAUUCUAAUUGAUUUCUGUCAUGAAGUCUGGCGUUGUUUGUGGCCUUUGUAUUUGAAUAAAUUCCCAAUGAACGAAAUUCAAUUGCGCGAGUAUUUAAAUGGUUUUGAGUCAUUGGGUUUCCCUCAAGUGUUAGGAGCUAUAGAUGGUUGUCAUAUAGAAGUUCGCCCAGCUGCAGAAGAUGCUGUUGACUACUACAAUUACAAAGGUUGGUAUUCCACAGUUCUUUUGGCUUUAGUAGAUGCAAGAUGUCGCUUUAUAUACAUCAACGUUGGUAGUCCAGGCCGUUGUAAUAACUCUUCAAUAUUUGAGAGAUCAUCUUUAAAAGGCGAGUUGGCACAAUCUACUAUAUUUAAAGACAUGAGUAAACAAAUAUCGUCAGUUAAUGUUCCAGUCGUUUUGUUGGGCGACUCUGCGUUCAAAUUUGAUGAACAUUUGAUGAAACCGUACCCAUUUUGUGUAAACCAACUUUUGGAUAAAAAAAAUUCAACUAUGUACUCUCGAAAUGCCGAAGAGUGGUGGAGAAUGCUUUCGGUCAUUUAAAGGGAAGGUUUAGACGGGUUGGAAAAGGCUUGGAUAACCACAUGGCCAACACGAAAAUCGUCAUAAAAGCGUGCUGCGUUUUGCACAACUUUUUAAAUGAGGAAAAUGAUGAAAUUAACGAAAAGUGGAUUGCAGCACAACAAAUCGAAAACGAAUCUCGGCAGUUGCCAGAAGACGUCUCUAACAUUUGUGGAAAUGUUAACCCAAGAGCAGAGGAAAUAAGACAAGCAUUCGUUUCGUAUUUCGCAUCGCUUGACGAUGGCCGAGAGCAACCACGCGACGUAGAAGGUCCAUCGCUUGGGCUUGGGAGCGGCGGCUCUCCUUCUGUAUCGUUCUCAAUGUAAAUUGGUUCCAUGUCAACUGAAAAUAGAAGAAACAAAUAAAAGUGUAAGGAAACAUUCCAUAA